UACAGAGGUCUCAAGCGUUGUUCGGAUUCAUUGGGCGUAAAGGGUGCGUAGGCGGCGCGGUAAGUCGGGUGUGAAAUCUCGGGGCUUAACUCCGAGACUGCAUUCGAUACUGCCGUGCUUGAGGACUGGAGAGGAGACUGGAAUUUACGGUGUAGCGGUGAAAUGCGUAGAUAUCGUAAGGAAGACCAGUGGCGAAGGCGGGUCUCUGGACAGUUCCUGACGCUGAGGCACGAAGGUCAGGGGAGCAAACGGG
rnacentral:rRNA from 1 species